rnacentral:rRNA from 1 species
UACGUAGGGGGCAAGCGUUGUCCGGAUUUAUUGGGCGUAAAGAGCGUGUAGGCGGCCAUACAGGUCAGCUGUGAAAACUCGAGGCUCAACCUCGAGACGCCGGUGGAAACCAUCAGACUAGAGUCCGGAAGAGGAGAGUGGAAUUCCUGGUGUAGCGGUGAAAUGCGCAGAUAUCAGGAAGAACACCCGUGGCUAAGGCGGCUCUCUAGUACGGUACUGACGCUGAGACGCGAAAGCGUGGGAGCGAACAGG